GACAUGGAUUAGCAAUUAAUGAAUUGAAUGAAUUUCAAUUAACGCACGUGAACAACAUGCCUUGCUAAAACUCAGAGCAAAAUGAAUCAAAGAGGGAACUUCAAGAACCCUAACUCAAGAAUUCAAAAUUAAACAGCAACGGAGUGGAAUCGAGUCACCUCUUGUUGGGGCUUUCAUUCCUCUCGUGAAGAACUACAUUCCGGUAACUCAAAUUGCAAAAAGAAAGAAGAGGACCAAAAGCUUACCAGAGUAAACGUCGAUGUAAGGUGAUGGAUGAGUCGUGAAGAUGAUGAUGAAUUGAGAUUGAUGAUAAGUGGUUCAGAGAAGUGGAGGGCUGAUUCCUUGGCUUGAAUGCUCGUGGGAUUUGGAUCCAAUGGCUUACUCUCAUGCCUUGGUCAUGGAGCUGACUUGGGAUGCUUUGGUUGCAUUAAAGUGGAUACAAGGAUUGUUUGGAGUACAUCAUGUGGAAUUGGAAUUGCUUGGACUGUUUUUGGAGUUUUGCUCAUGUUGUAUUGUUGUAAUGGUUUAAUGUUGUUGAAAAUGCCUAUGUAUGUAUGGUUAUGAUUGUAAUUUGAAUUUGGUUGAAGUAGUUGUAAUUUGAAAUUGGAAUUGAAUUUAUGGAUAAAGGAAAAUUGAUGAUGUAUGUAA